AGUUGAUAUUUAUAUAGUAUAUAACUAUUGGUACUAAAUUUCUUUAUGAUUUAAAAUAAAAAAAGUAUUUCAGAAGAAUAUAUUAUUUUUUUUUAAAUUAAAAAAUAGAAUUUAGAAAAAAAUCUGGCGAAGCCUGUGCCAGCCGCCGCGGUUAUACAGGCAGGUAUAAUAGUUUAUUUAAAAAAGAUAAUUUUUUUUUUAUUAAAAAAAAGUUUUUUUAGGUGGAAUUUUUAAACUUGUUUUUUUAUUUGAAUCUUAAAAAUUUAAUUAUAUAAACUAGGAUUAGAUACCCUAUUAUUUUUAAAAGUAAGAUUGAUAGUAAGUAUAAUGUGUGAAAUCAAAAGAUUUUGGCGGUACUUUAAGCUUGUUAGAGGAAUUUGCUCUUUAAUUGAUAAAACACCAAAAUCUUACUUGAAUUGGUUAAGACAGUUUGUAUAUUGCUAUCAUAAAAUUAUAUUGAAUGAUAAUAAUUAAAAUAGGGUUUUCCUAAAAUGUUAGGUCAAAAUGCAGUUUAUAUUUAAGUUUGAAGUGAAUUACGAUAAUUAAUAUUAGAUAUUUAUGAAAAAUUAAAUAGGAUUUAAAAGUAAAUUUUAAAUUAUAAUGUUUAAUUGAAGAAAGCUCUAAGGUAUGUACAUAUCGCCCGUCACUCUCAUUUUUUGAGAUAAGUCGUAACAAAGUAAGUGUACCGGAAGGUGUACUUAAGGGUGAAAUCAGUUAUGAUAUUUCAUUUACAGUGAAAUUAGGUAUUA
rnacentral:ncRNA from 1 species